rnacentral:rRNA from 1 species
UACAGAGGUCUCGAGCGUUGUUCGGAUUCAUUGGGCGUAAAGGGCGCGUAGGCGGCGGGGCAAGUCGGGUGUGAAAUCUCAGAGCUCAACUCUGAAACUGCACUCGAUACUGCUUUGCUUGAGGACUGGAGAGGAGAUUGGAAUUCACGGUGUAGCAGUGAAAUGCGUAGAUAUCGUGAGGAAGACCAGUGGCGAAGGCGGAUCUCUGGACAGUUCCUGACACUGAGGCACGAAGGCCAGGGGAGCAAACGGG